UGAGCUGUAACACUUGAAGAC
rnacentral:miRNA from 2 species